AACCUGCCCAAGAGAUCGGGAUAACACCUGGAAACAGAUGCUAAUACCGGAUAACAACAGAUGAUGCCUAUCAACUGUUUAAAAGAUGGUUCUGCUAUCACUCUUGGAUGGACCUGCGGUGCAUUAGCUAGUUGGUAGGGUAACGGCCUACCAAGGCGAUGAUGCAUAGCCGAGUUGAGAGACUGAUCGGCCACAUGGGACUGAGACACGGCCCAAACUCCUACGGGAGGCAGCAGC
rnacentral:rRNA from 1 species